GGAGAAGUACCCAAGCAGGUCGAAGGGGACGGUUUGCUAAACCGUUAGUCCGAGCAAUCGGAGCCAGGGUUCGAAUCCCUGCUUCUCCG
rnacentral:tRNA from 1 species